GACGAACGCUGGCGGCGUGCUUAACACAUGCAAGUCGAACGGAAAGGCCCUGCUUUUGUGGGGUGCUCGAGUGGCGAACGGGUGAGUAACACGUGAGUAACCUGCCCUUGACUUUGGGAUAACUUCAGGAAACUGGGGCUAAUACCGGAUAGGAGCUCCUGCUGCAUGGUGGGGGUUGGAAAGUUUCGGCGGUUGGGGAUGGACUCGCGGCUUAUCAGCUUGUUGGUGGGGUAGUGGCUUACCAAGGCCUUGACGGGUAGCCGGCCUGAGAGGGUGACCGGCCACAUUGGGACUGAGAUACGGCCCAGACUCCUACGGGAGGCAGCAGUGGGGAAUAUUGCACAAUGGGCGGAAGCCUGAUGCAGCAACGCCGCGUGCGGGAUGACGGCCUUCGGGUUGUAAACCGCUUUCGCCUGUGACGAAGCGUGAGUGACGGUAAUGGGUAAAGAAGCACCGGCUAACUACGUGCCAGCAGCCGCGGUGAUACGUAGGGUGCGAGCGUUGUCCGGAUUUAUUGGGCGUAAAGGGCUUGUAGGUGGUUGAUCGCGUCGGAAGUGUAAUCUUGGGGCUUAACCCUGAGCGUGCUUUCGAUACGGGUUGACUUGAGGAAGGUAGGGGAGAAUGGAAUUCCUGGUGGAGCGGUGGAAUGCGCAGAUAUCAGGAGGAACACCAGUGGCGAAGGCGGUUCUCUGGGCCUUUCCUGACGCUGAGGAGCGAAAGCGUGGGGAGCGAACAGGCUUAGAUACCCUGGUAGUCCACGCUGUAAACGGUGGGUACUAGGUGUGGGGUCCAUUCCACGGGUUCCGUGCCGUAGCUAACGCUUUAAGUACCCCGCCUGGGGAGUACGGCCGCAAGGCUAAAACUCAAAGGAAUUGACGGGGCCCCGCACAAGCGGCGGAGCAUGCGGAUUAAUUCGAUGCAACGCGUAGAACCUUACCUGGGUUUGACAUGGAUCGGGAGCGCUCAGAGAUGGGUGUGCCUCUUUUGGGGUCGGUUCACAGGUGGUGCAUGGCUGUCGUCAGCUCGUGCCGUGAGAUGUUGGGUUAAGUCCCGCAACGAGCGCAACCCUUGUUCACUGUUGCCAGCACGUUAUGGUGGGGACUCAGUGGAGACCGCCGGGGUCAACUCGGAGGAAGGUGGGGAUGACGUCAAGUCAUCAUGCCCCUUAUGUCCAGGGCUUCACGCAUGCUACAAUGGCUGGUACAGAGAGUGGCGAGCCUGUGAGGGUGAGCGAAUCUCGGAAAGCCGGUCUCAGUUCGGAUUGGGGUCUGCAACUCGACCUCAUGAAGUCGGAGUCGCUAGUAAUCGCAGAUCAGCAACGCUGCGGUGAAUACGUUCCCGGG
rnacentral:rRNA from 1 species